AGGACGAACGCUGGCGGCGUGCUUAACACAUGCAAGUCGAGCGGAAAGGCCACUUCGGUGGUACUCGAGCGGCGAACUGGUGAGUAACACGUGAGUAAUCUGCCCUCCACUUUGGGAUAGCCACCGGAAACGGUGAUUAAUACCGGAUAUGACCUUGGCCCGCAUGGGUUGUGGUGGAAAGUUUUUCGGUGGGGGAUGUGCUCGCGGCCUAUCAGCUUGAUGGUGGGGUAAUGGCCUACCAUGGCUUCGACGGGUAGCCGGCCUGAGAGGGUGACCGGCCACACUGGGACUGAGACACGGCCCAGACUCCUACGGGAGCAGCAGUGGGGAAUAUUGGACAAUGGGCGGAAGCCUGAUCCAGCAACGCGCGUGAGGGAUGACGGCCUUCGGGUGUAAACCUCUUUCAGCACAGACGAAGCGAAAGUGACGUAUGUGCAGAAGAAGCACCGGCCAACUACGUGCCAGCAGCCGC
rnacentral:rRNA from 1 species